rnacentral:rRNA from 1 species
UACGGGGGGAGCAAGCGUUGUUCGGAUUUACUGGGCGUAAAGGGCGCGUAGGCGGCCAGCGCAAGUCGGUUGUGAAAUCUCCGGGCUUAACUCGGAAAGGUCAACUGAUACUGUGCGGCUAGAGUGCAGAAGGGGCAACUGGAAUUCUCGGUGUAGCGGUGAAAUGCGUAGAUAUCGAGAGGAACACCUGCGGCGAAGGCGGGUUGCUGGGCUGACACUGACGCUGAUGCGCGAAAGCCAGGGGAGCGAACGGG